ensembl:lncRNA
GGACUAAGCAUUUUAGGGAACGGGAGGCUGUCGGAGUUUGGGGUCGCCCCCUCCGGGGGUUCUGCUGUUUAGCUUGAACGCUAAGCUAUAUACUAUCGGAGAGGGAGUGGGUGGCGCCCCCGAGGGCCAAAGACGGCCCAGAACGAGGCGGAGGGGCUGCGCCUGGCUUCCAGGAGCCAGGAACACUGGGAGGACGUGGAAGACCGGGAAGCGAGAGAAAAUAAGCCCAACCGCCAAAUGUCCUUAUCUCUCCCCGGACGGGCGAGACUGCCACGAUCCGGCCAAACCUCCCUCCUUCGGACAAGCCCAAGGAAGGAGUUGGGCGAUAGCUGCAGAGGAGCCGCGAAUUCAGGGAGGAGCUGCUCCCCCCUCCCCUCCCCCAUCUGCCGGGUUUCAAUUGGACGAUCCCCCCCCUCCCCCCCCGAACAUUUCUGGGGCCAGUCCGAGACUUCAGCUGUGACAGAACUGGAAGGCGAGGCAAACAGCCAGUUCGCUAGUCUUGCUCUAAGCCCAGCCCCGCCCCACUCCCGCUGGAGAGCCGGUUCCCUUUUAUUUUAGAGAGAACACUGCACUACAAGGUUCAAACACCUCCAGCGGCGCCCCGGGGUGGUAAAUGGUGACACUGAAGUCUGCAAGACCUGGGUUCAAGUCAAGCCUCAGUUCAGAAGACUAAUUUCUAGAGAAGGCGCCGGGCUAUACAGUAGAGAAAUGCCUACACAGGACCAAACGCAUUAAAGCAUGCUUCCCUCAGGCCUGUCUGCCUUGCAUGGUCCAUAUUUUUAUCUUGGCACCACUCUCAGGGCUUCACUCCUGGCGGGGCUCUGGCAGCAUCUCUCUGGAAGGCAGCAUCCUUCCCCAACCAGGAAAAGCCCUACUGUGUGCUGGCAGCUUCCCCUUCAGAGCCUCCACAAACCAACCUCCCCUAAAUGAUGAGCCAUUAUACUCAGAGCACACACUGGAAGCUGAGGCAGAAGACGGGCACAUCUUUAAAUGUAGCCAUGCAAUGGCGGCUCGUCCAAUGGGAGCUCCAUCCCGAGUCAGCAGUCCACCCUGGGGACCCAGAAAGAAAGAAGGGCAAGUGGAGGCUGUUACCUUGAAAAGAAACGCUGAACUACCAAGGCAGUCAGACAGACGGAAGUCCUCAACCAGGAAUAGGCGUAGGAGAGGGUCCAUUGUUUGGGCCAUCGCUCAGUCCAGUGCCACACACCACCCAGGGCCCGCACCCUGGGGAUUUGGGAACCCUAGCUCAAUAUGUUCUUUGGCCUGGAAAUACAGAAUGUUGUCCACCUGA